AAGUUGUAUGAAAGGGGAGGUUAGCACUCCCUUUGACAAGGAUGGAGGAGGCCCUUGGGCCUGACAACACACAAUACAGUUAAGAGGCAUUGCCAUCUACUUCAUGGCAUCUAACCAUUGUGGUGU
rfam:Canis lupus familiaris chromosome 5, whole genome shotgun sequence.